UGCUGUUCCAAGAAAGGGCAUAACAAAAACGUUAAUCUUUUUACCUCUCCCUCUACGCCAAGCUUCUCCAGGAAUUCCUGACCAUUUCGCCCUAGCAUGCUGUGUGUAGCGCCUGAAUCCAAAAGGCCUCUCAUGGACUCUCCCAUUAUAGAGAUUAUUACGAAAACUCUCGGGUCUUUUUUGCAACAGCGUUUUACUGAAGCAAUCACCUACCUCCUCAUAGUUCGCCUUUGCUUAAUCCGGAAUCUCGCCUUUUUCACCCGAACUGACGGUGCUCGCAUACCAUCCACUUGUAGUUCAGAAAAUAUUAUAUUUCGGGUUUCUAAAUAAUUUCUUAACCGCUCUUCAUAUGAUAAGUUAUUUAAUCUAGCAUGCAAAUAACGUCUAUCUAAUUCAUUUUUCUUCUCUUCUUUCUCUGCGCAGGCCCCCUCUGUGAGCGUUAUUCGCUGCUUGGAUCGCACUCCUCUUCGCGUUUCCCGCGCAAUUCUGGCAGGUCGGGCAAUAUACUUCGGGCUUUCCACACCGGUAGCAAAAAAUUCGCCUCUCCGAUGCCAUACAGUCUCUAAAGCCAUGAUUGGUCUGCCCGCAGUUCCAGCAAAUCAACUUUUACGGAACACGCCGUGUCACUUGCGCUUUCUUAAUGACCUCUGCCUCUUCAUUGCUAAUCACCCCGCGGCCAUAGCUGGUGGCUUUGGUUGAUCCUCGCCACGAAGAUCUAGCCUUCCUCUUCAGGUGUGCCUCUAUUUCCACGCAUUCAUCCCGUAGUUGGUCUAAGGAAUAAACCCGUGGUCUCCAACCUCGAGGCGAGCUUCCUCAUGAUAUGGAAAAAAUCUUUCACACUCUCGUUUGACCGCUGCAUUCUUUCCCGCAGUUCUCUCAUAUGGUCAAGCUCGGACGCCGUGCUUCGGAAACGUGCAAUUAGGUCGUCCCUAAGAUCCUGCCAAACACCACCGCCAUGAUCGCGAAUGGACUGCCAGUACCAUUCCCGCGCGUUUCCUGUAACCAGGUGAUAGAAUCCCUUGAGAACCUCAUCCCACGGGCAGCGACAUUGGGAUUGUAGGAAUUCAAUUCGGAACAAAAAAUCCUCGACCGUCAUUUUGUUGCUGUCCCCGUCGAACGUUACAUCCCAUUUUUCGUCUCGGCCCACCGUGGCCAAGGUCUAUAACCCGGCGGGUUUGAAUGCGGAAUUCAAACUCGAGGAAUUUCACCAGCUCUCUUUCUCUCGCCACAACCCUGACCUGAGUGUCUACGUGCUAUCGGGUUUCGCCAAUCUCGCGCUUGAUUCUCAGCCCGUUUAUGCUGCCUACUGGAUGCGGUCGCCCCUACUCCUGAUGACGGUUCCGGACCAAUACCACCUCACCCCAAGCGAGCCAAAAAUGGCCCAUCUUCCUGGCCUAGACAGCUCCAAGUUCCUCCCGAUCUUGAUCGAAUAUCGCCCCGGACGCUUCUCCUAUCGGGUCCACUGUUUCGUUUACGCGUGAUCGCGUAUGAUACGGUCGACUACCCCCUUCUUGUGGCAUCUGCACUGAGCAACACCAAUACUACAACAAAAAAUGAACUAAAAUCGCUCCUCAACUACGAUAAAUAUAUAUAUAAAUAAAUAAAUACCAAAAUAAAUAUCUAGCAAUAAAUAAAUAGCACUACGCUUUGGACCAAUAAAUACUCAGAUAAAUAAAUACUUAAAUACCGAUAUAAAUAUUGCGCCAACUAGCUCCGUUAGCGAGAUAUAUACAAUUAAAUAUUUGAAUAAAUAAUAACAUAUAUGUAUAUUCGGUCGACACCUAAGACGCUUAAACUUCAAAUACAUUCAACACAACACAAAACCUAAGAACAAGGACCUAAGGACACGUGACUAGCCGGGACCAGCAACCGCUCCAGUUUCUGCGCUCCACUUGACAGCCCUACGGAUAUCUACAAUUACGUACACCACUUGUGUGACCGGUCACCUACUCUAGUCAUCGCUCAAAGCGAUAGCCGAUAAGCGAGAAGCCUCACGGUGCACGAGCCCACUUUGCUUGUGGUUUAUUCCUGUCAUCCAUCAUACCGAUCUGCCAUGACAACCGAUGCAUCGCGGGCUGUCUUUACGACUCCCGGGCCACCCAUUCCUCACCACAUCUCGGCAGACAGACCACAGGUUCAAAGCACGAAAGCGGCCUUUUUUUUUUAGCAAACAGAUUCACAUCACAGCUCACCAGGCAAUGUGUCCGUCGCAAACUUCCUGUUCAUUUUUUUUGAACGGCCGUGACUUACGUUCACUUGCGACAUCGAAUACUGACAAAAUGCUCAACUGCCAUCCGUAAGUCCCUAUCAAAUAUUUCAUAUUUACGUUAACUGCCUCCGUCUAUCUUUACCUAGCAACGAUCACCUUGCGCCAUUAAGGAUCAGCUUUACGCUCCCCUUAAGCCUGCAGAAGCGACUUAUGCCGGGAAAGCUAAAAUGCGCUUCGCGAGCUGUAGUUUCAUUUUCGUUUCUCCCCUGUUUGUUGAAAACAAAAAAAACGAGGGGGAACGUUGUGAGUUGCU